rnacentral:rRNA from 1 species
GACGAACGCUGGCGGCGUGCCUAAUACAUGCAAGUCGAGCGGACUUUCAAGAAGCUUGCUUUUUGAAAGUUAGCGGCGGACGGGUGAGUAGCACGUGGGCAACCUGCCUGCAAGACGGGGAUAACUCCGGGAAACCGGGGCUAAUACCGGAUAAUAUCUUCCUUCGCAUGAAGGAAGGUUGAAAGGCGGCGCAAGCUGCCGCUUGCAGAUGGGCCCGCGGCGCAUUAGCUAGUUGGUGAGGUAACGGCUCACCAAGGCGACGAUGCGUAGCCGACCUGAGAGGGUGAUCGGCCACACUGGGACUGAGACACGGCCCAGACUCCUACGGGAGGCAGCAGUAGGGAAUCUUCCGCAAUGGACGAAAGUCUGACGGAGCAACGCCGCGUGAGCGAAGAAGGUCUUCGGAUCGUAAAGCUCUGUUGUCAGGGAAGAACAAGUACCGUUCGAACAGGGCGGUACCUUGACGGUACCUGACCAGAAAGCCACGGCUAACUACGUG